rnacentral:rRNA from 1 species
GGGUUGUGAGGUUAAGCGACUAAGCGUACACGGUGGAUGCCCUGGCAGUCAGAGGCGAUGAAGGACGUGCUAAUCUGCGAUAAGCGUCGGUAAGGUGAUAUGAACCGUUAUAACCGGCGAUUUCCGAAUGGGGAAACCCAGUGUGUUUCGACACACUAUCAUUAACUGAAUCCAUAGGUUAAUGAGGCGAACCGGGGGAACUGAAACAUCUAAGUACCCCGAGGAAAAGAAAUCAACCGAGAUUCCCCCAGUAGCGGCGAGCGAACGGGGAGCAGCCCAGAGCCUGAAUCAGUGUGUGUGUUAGUGGAAGCGUCUGGAAAGGCGCGCGAUACAGGGUGACAGCCCCGUACACAAAAAUGCACAUGCUGUGAGCUCGAUGAGUAGGGCGGGACACGUGGUAUCCUGUCUGAAUAUGGGGGGACCAUCCUCCAAGGCUAAAUACUCCUGACUGACCGAUAGUGAACCAGUACCGUGAGGGAAAGGCGAAAAGAACCCCGGCGAGGGGAGUGAAAAAGAACCUGAAACCGUGUACGUACAAGCAGUGGGAGCACGCUUAGGCGUGUGACUGCGUACCUUUUGUAUAAUGGGUCAGCGACUUAUAUUCUGUAGCAAGGUUAACCGAAUAGGGGAGCCGAAGGGAAACCGAGUCUUAACUGGGCGUUAAGUUGCAGGGUAUAGACCCGAAACCCGGUGAUCUAGCCAUGGGCAGGUUGAAGGUUGGGUAACACUAACUGGAGGACCGAACCGACUAAUGUUGAAAAAUUAGCGGAUGACUUGUGGCUGGGGGUGAAAGGCCAAUCAAACCGGGAGAUAGCUGGUUCUCCCCGAAAGCUAUUUAGGUAGCGCCUCGUGAAUUCAUCUCCGGGGGUAGAGCACUGUUUCGGCAAGGGGGUCAUCCCGACUUACCAACCCGAUGCAAACUGCGAAUACCGGAGAAUGUUAUCACGGGAGACACACGGCGGGUGCUAACGUCCGUCGUGAAGAGGGAAACAACCCAGACCGCCAGCUAAGGUCCCAAAGUCAUGGUUAAGUGGGAAACGAUGUGGGAAGGCCCAGACAGCCAGGAUGUUGGCUUAGAAGCAGCCAUCAUUUAAAGAAAGCGUAAUAGCUCACUGGUCGAGUCGGCCUGCGCGGAAGAUGUAACGGGGCUAAACCAUGCACCGAAGCUGCGGCAGCGACACUAUGUGUUGUUGGGUAGGGGAGCGUUCUGUAAGCCUGUGAAGGUGUACUGUGAGGUAUGCUGGAGGUAUCAGAAGUGCGAAUGCUGACAUAAGUAACGAUAAAGCGGGUGAAAAGCCCGCUCGCCGGAAGACCAAGGGUUCCUGUCCAACGUUAAUCGGGGCAGGGUGAGUCGACCCCUAAGGCGAGGCCGAAAGGCGUAGUCGAUGGGAAACAGGUUAAUAUUCCUGUACUUGGUGUUACUGCGAAGGGGGGACGGAGAAGGCUAUGUUGGCCGGGCGACGGUUGUCCCGGUUUAAGCGUGUAGGCUGGUUUUCCAGGCAAAUCCGGAAAAUCAAGGCUGAGGCGUGAUGACGAGGCACUACGGUGCUGAAGCAACAAAUGCCCUGCUUCCAGGAAAAGCCUCUAAGCAUCAGGUAACAUCAAAUCGUACCCCAAACCGACACAGGUGGUCAGGUAGAGAAUACCAAGGCGCUUGAGAGAACUCGGGUGAAGGAACUAGGCAAAAUGGUGCCGUAACUUCGGGAGAAGGCACGCUGAUAUGUAGGUGAAGUCCCUCGCGGAUGGAGCUGAAAUCAGUCGAAGAUACCAGCUGGCUGCAACUGUUUAUUAAAAACACAGCACUGUGCAAACACGAAAGUGGACGUAUACGGUGUGACGCCUGCCCGGUGCCGGAAGGUUAAUUGAUGGGGUUAGCGCAAGCGAAGCUCUUGAUCGAAGCCCCGGUAAACGGCGGCCGUAACUAUAACGGUCCUAAGGUAGCGAAAUUCCUUGUCGGGUAAGUUCCGACCUGCACGAAUGGCGUAAUGAUGGCCAGGCUGUCUCCACCCGAGACUCAGUGAAAUUGAACUCGCUGUGAAGAUGCAGUGUACCCGCGGCAAGACGGAAAGACCCCGUGAACCUUUACUAUAGCUUGACACUGAACAUUGAGCCUUGAUGUGUAGGAUAGGUGGGAGGCUUUGAAGUGUGGACGCCAGUCUGCAUGGAGCCGACCUUGAAAUACCACCCUUUAAUGUUUGAUGUUCUAACGUUGACCCGUAAUCCGGGUUGCGGACAGUGUCUGGUGGGUAGUUUGACUGGGGCGGUCUCCUCCUAAAGAGUAACGGAGGAGCACGAAGGUUGGCUAAUCCUGGUCGGACAUCAGGAGGUUAGUGCAAUGGCAUAAGCCAGCUUGACUGCGAGCGUGACGGCGCGAGCAGGUGCGAAAGCAGGUCAUAGUGAUCCGGUGGUUCUGAAUGGAAGGGCCAUCGCUCAACGGAUAAAAGGUACUCCGGGGAUAACAGGCUGAUACCGCCCAAGAGUUCAUAUCGACGGCGGUGUUUGGCACCUCGAUGUCGGCUCAUCACAUCCUGGGGCUGAAGUAGGUCCCAAGGGUAUGGCUGUUCGCCAUUUAAAGUGGUACGCGAGCUGGGUUUAGAACGUCGUGAGACAGUUCGGUCCCUAUCUGCCGUGGGCGCUGGAGAACUGAGGGGGGCUGCUCCUAGUACGAGAGGACCGGAGUGGACGCAUCACUGGUGUUCGGGUUGUCAUGCCAAUGGCACUGCCCGGUAGCUAAAUGCGGAAGAGAUAAGUGCUGAAAGCAUCUAAGCACGAAACUUGCCCCGAGAUGAGUUCUCCCUGACUCCUUGAGAGUCCUGAAGGAACGUUGAAGACGACGACGUUGAUAGGCCGGGUGUGUAAGCGCAGCGAUGCGUUGAGCUAACCGGUACUAAUGAACCGUGAGGCUUAACCUUACAACGCCGAAG